AUUGAACGCUGGCGGCAUGCCUUACACAUGCAAGUCGAACGGUAACGGGCCUUCGGGUGCCGACGAGUGGCGAACGGGUGAGUAAUACAUCGGAACGUGCCCGAUCGUGGGGGAUAACGAGGCGAAAGCUUUGCUAAUACCGCAUACGAUCUACGGAUGAAAGCAGGGGACCGCAAGGCCUUGCGCGGACGGAGCGGCCGAUGGCAGAUUAGGUAGUUGGUGGGAUAAAAGCUUACCAAGCCGACGAUCUGUAGCCGGUCUGAGAGGAUGAUCAGCCACACUGGGACUGAGACACGGCCCAGACUCCUACGGGAGGCAGCAGUGGGGAAUUUUGGACAAUGGGCGCAAGCCUGAUCCAGCCAUGCCGCGUGCAGGAUGAAGGCCUUCGGGUUGUAAACUGCUUUUGUACGGAACGAAAAGCCUUCUUUUAAUACAGGAGGGUCAUGACGGUACCGUAAGAAUAAGCACCGGCUAACUACGUG
rnacentral:rRNA from 1 species